rnacentral:rRNA from 1 species
CUCGUAGGCGGUUCAGUAAGUCGGCUGUGAAAGUCCGGGGCUCAACCCCGGAACUGCAGUCGAUACUGCUGUGACUAGAAUCAGGUAGAGGAGAAUGGAAUUCCCGGUGUAGCGGUGGAAUGCGCAGAUAUCGGGAGGAACACCAGUAGCGAAGGCGGUUCUCUGGGCCGUGUAUUGACGCUGAGGAGCGAAAGCGUGGGGAGGCAAACA